rnacentral:rRNA from 1 species
UACGAAGGGGGCUAGCGUUGCUCGGAAUCACUGGGCGUAAAGCGCACGUAGGCGGAUUGUUAAGUCAGGGGUGAAAUCCUGGAGCUCAACUCCAGAACUGCCUUUGAUACUGGCGAUCUCGAGUCCGGGAGAGGUGAGUGGAACUGGCGAGUGUAGAGGUGAAAAUUCGUAGAUAUUCGCAAGAACACCAGUGGCGAAGGCGGACUCACUGGCCCGAGUACUGACGCUGAGGCACGAAAGCAGGGAGCGA